GGUGAUGUAGCUAAGUGGUAGAGCUCAAUCUUACCAUGUGUGAAGCCCUGGGUUCAAUCCCCAGCACUA
rnacentral:tRNA from 1 species